rnacentral:rRNA from 1 species
UACAGAGGGUGCGAGCGUUAAUCGGAAUUACUGGGCGUAAAGGGUGUGUAGGUGGUUGUGUAAGUUAGAUGUGAAAUCCCUGGGCUCAACCUAGGAACUGCGUUUAAGACUGCGUAGCUAGAGUAUUGUAGAGGAUAGUGGAAUUUCCAGUGUAGCGGUGAAAUGCGUAGAUAUUGGAAGGAACACCAGUGGCGAAGGCGACUAUCUGGGCAAAUACUGACACUGAGACACGAAAGCGUGGGGAGCAAACAGG